rnacentral:rRNA from 1 species
UGGGGAAUUUUGGACAAUGGGGGAAAGCCUGAUCCAGCACAUGCCGCGUGUGUGAAGAGGCUCUUCGGGUUGUAAAGCACUUAGUCUUGGAAGGAAGGGCAGUAAGUUAAUACCCUUGGGGNGAUGACGGUACCGGAAGAAUAAGCCCCGGCUA